UCCACCCGGCCUUUCAGAAGAAACCACUGCAUUGCCUUUUCCCAUUUCUACACACAGGGCCAAGGUCAUGUUCAACAUGGGGACUGUUUCCUUUAUGUAAAUAAAAUACAUGAAAAAACACCCGGGGAACUUAUCAACUCAGAAACUUUCCUCCAGGAGAAAAUGACCCUAGAGCAGAUCUUCCCGACUUGCCAGUUUUCCAGUGAGUGAAAUCUUCUCAAAGAGUUAACUCACAGACUUCCAUUUCCUGUUCCUCACAUCUGGCUGAGCCCGCGUCAUUAGAAGCAAUGCAGUAAUACUGCCCAGAGUCCUCCUUGUGAACAGCACUGAAAACCUGUUUCAGAAAUUAACACAUCACUUUCUCCACAUCGCCCCAUGCUGCCCAGUGACCUGGCCAUUCUGCACCCAGACCACAUCCUGCCUGCUUCAUGCCGUGUCCCCUGGCAACCAGGUGUGGCCCAGGAUGAGGUCUGCUAACCUGUCCAGCAGCGCCUUCCUGCAGAGUGUACACCCAGCCCUCACCUGGGACCUGAUGGGGUUCUCCACGACACCUCCUGGCCUCUGUGCCAUGGUGUAUCCUUCUGACGACCUCACCUGUAUCACUCCCAUCCCAGGUCAUGACAAGAAGAGAGCUGAGAACGCUCACUCUUAUUCCUUAGAAAUGGACCAUGCAUACAUUGAUAAGUGUAGCCUGAUUUAGUGUAAUUAUCGUAUGUGUUUUAUAUGUUUUUUGGCCUGUUACUCUGACUGUUAAUCUGUGUUGAUGGUGAUUAACUUGAUAAAGACUUACAAGAUAAAUAAAGCUGAUGUUGGUAAAGAAUAUUUUAGAAAUGGGGGUGGAGGGGAAGGGAAAAAAAGAAUUGGGAUGUGUUCUGUACCAAUUCCUCACAAUAAGUGUAAUCAUUAUGUAAUGCAAAC